UGGCCGAGAAAGGCGUGGGCAAACGACGCAACGCGAUUUGCUGCGUGGAGUUCUCCACACUGCGAACAGCAUCCAGGGCAACGUGGGAGACGCAAGAAGCCCUUGCGCGGCAGGAACUCGUGGAAGUUCGACGUCCUUGUGGCUGUCCCUUGCCGAACAUAAUGUUGCAUUCGGAAUGAGCGUACGGCAUCCACAGUAGCCGUGAGGCAGAAGAUGAAGAUUCGGAGGAAGAAGACCGACGGAAGAACUCUCGAUUCACCUCCUUCGCCGACAGGGUCUCAAAGUUGGAUUCGAGUUUCAGGCAGGGCACCCAGCAUUCCACCGAGGGGCCUCGCAAGUCCACUCGCUGGUGUUCCGUUAACCGGGGACGCUACCUUGUUAUUAAUUUAUUAUGUUUAAUGAUCUUAAUGCAUAAAUAUUUUUCGUUGUUCUUAAUAAAGAGCUUUGUAAGCGCCAUAUUAACAUAGUA